rnacentral:rRNA from 1 species
GAUGAACGCUGGCGGCGUGCCUAAUACAUGCAAGUCGAGCGAACGGACGAGAAGCUUGCUUCUCUGAUGUUAGCGGCGGACGGGUGAGUAACACGUGGAUAACCUACCUAUAAGACUGGGAUAACUUCGGGAAACCGGAGCUAAUACCGGAUAAUAUUUUGAACCGCAUGGUUCAAAAGUGAAAGACGGUCUUGCUGUCACUUAUAGAUGGAUCCGCGCUGCAUUAGCUAGUUGGUAAGGUAACGGCUUACCAAGGCAACGAUGCAUAGCCGACCUGAGAGGGUGAUCGGCCACACUGGAACUGAGACACGGUCCAGACUCCUACGGGAGGCAGCAGUAGGGAAUCUUCCGCAAUGGGCGAAAGCCUGACGGAGCAACGCCGCGUGAGUGAUGAAGGUCUUCGGAUCGUAAAACUCUGUUAUUAGGGAAGAAAAUAUGUGUAAGUAACUGUGCACAUCUUGACGGUACCUAAUCAGAAAGCAACGGCUAACUACGUG